rnacentral:rRNA from 1 species
GACGUAGGAGGCGAGCGUUGUCCGGAUUCAUUGGGCGUAAAGAGCGCGUAGGCGGCUUGGUAAGUCGGAUGUGAAAUCCCGAGGCUCAACCUCGGGUCUGCAUCCGAUACUGCCCGGCUAGAGGUAGGUAGGGGAGAUCGGAAUUCCUGGUGUAGCGGUGAAAUGCGCAGAUAUCAGGAGGAACACCGGUGGCGAAGGCGGAUCUCUGGGCCUUACCUGACGCUCAGGCGCGAAAGCUAGGGGAGCGAACUGG